rnacentral:rRNA from 1 species
AUUGAACGCUGGCGGCAGGCCUAACACAUGCAAGUCGAACGAGUGGCGGACGGGUGAGUAAUGUCUGGGAAACUGCCCGAUGGAGGGGGAUAACUACUGGAAACGGUAGCUAAUACCGCAUACCAUCGGAUGUGCCCAGAUGGGAUGAGCUUGUAGGUGAGGUAACGGGUCACCUAGGCAACGAUCCCUAGCUGGUCUGAGAGGAUGACCAGCCACAGUGGAACUGAGACACGGUGCAGAAUCCUACGGGAGGCAGCAGGGGGGAAUAUUGCACAAUGGGAGGAAGCCUGAUGCAGCCAUGACGCGUGUAUGAAGAAGGCCGUCGGGUUGUAAAGUAAUUUCAGCGGGGAGGCGUUACCCGCAGAAGAAGCACCGGCUAACUCAGUGCCAGCAGCAGAGGUAAUAC